ensembl:lncRNA
UGAAAACAUUGCUUUGGAGCAAUGAAACUCAAACACAUUCAUUUUUAAAAUGCCUCAAAAUGAAAUUUUGAAAUAUUUGGCUUUAUGCUUUGAAAGUGCCGUUGUGAGUGGGAGUGUGAAAUCCUUACUUGAUGUGUUCCCUUUGCCUUUACUGUUUUCAGUUUUAUUUGUCAUAUGCAAGUUAGCACAGGGUCAACAUUGCAAUGAAAUGUGUUUGACGAGCAGCAGUCACUCAGCAGCAUGGUACAGUAGAAAUAUAAUAAAAUAUAAUAAAAUAAAAAAUAGAAAAAUAGUAAAGAGCAAAAUAUUAGAGAGACGUGGUAAAAGAGAAAAGAUGACUAAAUAUAUAUGUAUCUAUAAAUAUAAAUAUAUGUACACUAGUGAUUAAAUAAGAAAAUCUUGAAAAGAAAUAUGACGGGAGGCCAAAUGGGAUGUUGCACAGGAAUGAGCAGCAGAAAAUUACAGUAUUACUCAGACUUUUAAUAGUCAUAUUGUCAGUUUUGGCCGACGGUCAUGGGUCACUUCCACUAAAAUAGCACGAGACUGGAGUAAAAUGUACUUUAUUAAUGAGAACACAUGGUGAUACAGCAAAGAAUCCAACCCUUCUGAAAAGCAAAUGGCUUCCUGUUAUACUCUACCUGAUUCAGGUGAGCAUCUGGAAUAGACCAAGUCUGGGGGUCAGCAAACCAAAGGAAAACAAAACCCUCCCCAUAAGAAAACCACUACAAUAUAACCAACACGUUCUCACUCCCAAAGCGUAACAUUUUACGCUAGGUGACAAAUCGUCACCAUAUUACGUUUUUGGCUACCCACCACGUUCCUAAAUGACGACCUCGGAAAAAAGAGGAAAUAUGAGAACCGUCUGGACUGAAUCUACACAUGUUUGCUCUUUUUCUUCAAAUCGCUUAGAAACACGCUAUUUAACAUCAUUAAAGUCCUGGUUAAGGUCAGGAAUAAGGUUAUGGUCAGGGCUAGGGAUAAGGUUAGGUUUAGGGCUGGAAUACAGGGCUGGAACGUCUAUUACCGCGGGAGCGUCAUUGCACUGGAUUCCAGCCAUAGCCCGCCGCGUACAAUAAGAACGCCGAAGGUCUCCUUUCGCGUUCCUCAGGAACGCUGCGGGACGUGACAAAACGUCGACAUGUUACGCCUCGGGAGUGAGAAUGGGCUGAUAUAGCACAUCAUAGACAUAUGAAGAUUUGGAACAAGUCCUAUAAAUAAUUCAUUAACAUAUAAACUUCAGUCUCUUCUAUAUACAUUAAAACAGCGGUCCCCAACCUUUUUUGCGCCACGGACCGGUUUAUGCCCGACAAUAUUUUUAUGGACCGGCCUUUAAGGUGUCACAGAUAAAUACAACAAAAUAAAACUAGUACCGGUACCGGAAAAAAAGAUUUAUUCAUAACACACGUGAAAGACCCAGGAAAACAGAGUUAACGAUAAAAACGAUAACAAAAUAACGAUAAAAACUCUGAAAACCAUACAUUUCACACCCGAGCCUCAUCUCUCGACCAAACGACGGUCCGUGGCCCGGCGGUUGGGGACCGCUGCAUUAAAACACCUUAACCACACAGUUAGGUUUCAGCCCUCGCUGACUCAGAACAAAGUAAGACAAUCAGAGUUCGAUUGGUUUUUACUUGUGCAGGGGAAGCCUGGUCAGAUUCUCAGAGUUGCAAGCUCUACACCCAAACUCAGACAACUCCAACUCCAGCCUUUUAUUGAAUGAAAACAGUUACACAACCGCCCAUUGUAAACCCCAUAUGUUGUGUGGUAAAAGCUAAGGCACUGUGUGUGUGUGUGUGUGUAUACGUGACUUCCUGGUUACAAACGUUUUAACCACAUCUCUAGUCAUAAAAGGGUAUCUCCCCUCAACCUCGUAUAUGGCUUAACCUCUUUAACAGUCCACCAUUUACAUGGUGAGCCCAUACUGUAAAGGGCAGGAAGUGAACAUUCCUUACCAAAUAAGGAAACCAGAAUCUUACAUAGAUUGGGCCUGCAGUUGAAAACUAUAGCUAGUAACAUCCCCAACAUCCUACAUGUGGGGGAGGAACAGAAAAAUAUCUGAACAUACAGUUCAAGACAAGGUCCAAGCACAAUAAUGACAACUUUUAACAAAAUCACUCCAACACACACUCCCCUAGCCUGGCACAUUGGUUUGCUCCAGGAGCUCAUAAGCAGGUGAUUGAGCUGCUUUUACUCUUUACAAAGUGAGUACUGUUAACACUUCUCUUUUUACAUAUACAACUAAUUUAGGUUACAGACAAAUGUUUAAAUGUGAACAGCUCUAACACGGGUUCUUUUCCUGACACAGGUAGGAUGGCCA